AUAAUGUUCUUUCUCACUCUGGUAGUCAAAUAUUUAGAGUGUAAUGGAGUUUAGGAGUAGAGGGCAUACAGAAGGAAAUAGGAGGGAUGAAAAAUGGAAAAGGUAAAGAAGCAGAUUGAGAAAAUAAUAGCAAGCUAAAAGGUGAGGGCAUUUGUGAUGUGUGGCAUGGAAAACUUAUCAAUGCCAGCUUCAGCCUGACUAACGCAGACUAGUACAGCUAGUUACACAAGAUAUUACAUAAAAGCUGAAACCAAGCACCCUGAGGAUUAAGGCAGGUUGUUUAAUGUGAACUGAAGCCUGUGGCGCUGGGCCAACAACUGAACCAACAACAGGAUGAAGCCAGUUCCUGGGCUUCAUGGAGCUUGUCUGCUAUGGCUUUGACCUAUCAGAAUCCUGAACAGCUGGGGAAAAUGAGCUGAAGAGAAGUCAGAGAAGAAAGAUGGAUGAGAGACAGCUUAUUAGAGGAAUAUUUGAGAAUUUUCUGCCUUUCAUUUGAACAAGGUCUUUGGGUAUUCACCUUUUGGAAGACUACAGCGGGAUUUCCUGUUGCAAAGGUGUUAUUUCUGGCAGCUGGGCUGACUUCUUUGCUGUGAACAUGGACUGCACUGGAAACCAGCUUCCAAUACCUACACCUGAGAGAGUCAUCUGAGGUUCCAGUCACUACCAAUGAACAGGAAUAAGAAUUACAAGAACGGGAAGACUAAAUCAUGGAAAACAUCAACCAGAAAUUUUGACUCAUGCAAAAUGGGCCUGCAGUCUUGAAUGUGGAGGGCAGAAAAGCUGUAUUGAGAGAUAGAUAAAAUAGAUAAAAAACAAGUUAUUGAGUCCUUCUUAUGCACUGCAGUGUGCACAGAAAGCAGGCACCGGCAGCCCAAAAAGGACAUACGGGUAAGUCAGCAAUGUUGUCCAAGGAGCAGGGCUUGCUCCCUGGAAAAAAUAAAUAGCAGUUGUGGACUUGCACACUGCUUGGAAUUUCACUGAAAAAAAUAUAUUGCCACCUGAUGUUUGCUUUAUACUUUGUUCAGCAGCAGCUUUUGUACAUUCAGGACUGCAUAAAAAUGCUGGAAUCCAUCACUGCUUUCUCAUUCCAGCACACACCACUUGCUUCAACUUGCUUCACUUUGAUGUUAGAUAUAAUCAAAAGAAACCAGAUUAAUGUCUACAGGAUUAUAAAUAAUCUUAAAUUAUUUCUACUGAUGGGCACAGGUCUUGCAACAAAUAUACGACAAAUAAUUGAAGGCAAGCCAGAUCAGCUUGUCAUCUGCUUUGUUGUGGCAUGUAAAGCAUUUGGUCGAAAUGCACAUAGUACUCUUGGCUCCAUCAAGCAAGAUACCUUUCUGCCAGUUCAUCCCUCUCCAAAUCGCACUGAACUCAGUUAUCUUCUGUUAUGUCAGCAAUAAAAGAAUGGCAGGUGAAUACAAGCACUUUGUGCAGAAGGCUGCUGCUAUUAUUCCCUCAGUAUGUUUUUGCCUUCAAAUAGACCAUACUCUUGAAGACAUUUACAACUGCAAUAUUUUUACACAGGGAAAAAUCUCUUUUUUGCACCUGCAGGAAUAUCUCUAGGAUAUUGUAUAGGUUGAAUCUCUUUGUUCAAAAGCUUGAGUUGUUACCCCAGACACAGACUCCUCCUAUGAAGGAACAGCAUGGGUGCCAGUAUUUUCCUCAAAGUCUAGAGUUCAGAGUUUUUUAUCUACUCCAAAGACUUUUGUUCCACCUCAAAUCAGCAGAUUUUUAGAGGUUCCAAGCUGGAAACUUUCCCAAAAAGCACCUUCCAGUGACAAUUUUUAAAAGCCAACAAACGUUAGUACAUGGAACUAAACUGCAUGCUGCUGGACAAGUACACUAUC